AUUGAACGCUGGCGGCAUGCUUUACACAUGCAAGUCGGACGAGUGGCGGACGGGUGAGUAACGGAACGGAACGGACCUGAUAGAGGGGGAUAACUGUUCGAAAGGAUAGCUAAUACCGCAUAGUAUUAGAGGGGCCGAUGUGGGAUUAGCUUGUUGGUGGGGUAAAGGCCCACAAAGGCGACGAUCACUAGCGGGUCUGAGAGGAUGAUCGGCCACACUGGAACUGAGACACGGCCCAGACUCCUACGGGAGGCAGCAGUGGGGAAUUUUGCACAAUGGGCGCAAGCCUGAUCCAGCCAUGCCGCGUGUAUGAAGAAGGCCUUCGGGUUGUAAAGGACUUUCGGCAGGGAGGCGUUACCUGCAGAAUAAGCACCGGCUAACUACGUGCCAGCCGCCGCGGUAAUUC
rnacentral:rRNA from 1 species